CAAUAGCGUAUAUUAAAGUUGUUGCAGUUAAAAAGCUCGUAGUUGGAUUUCUGUUUCAGAGAACCUGGCCCGUGACCAAAUUUCGGUUCAUGGGUGCCGGUGUUUUCGUAACAUCCUUCCGGUGAUUUCUUCUGGUCCCUUUCAUUAGGUGGCUAGAGUGCUCCGGAUCUUUUACUUUGAAAAAUUAGAGUGUUUAAAGCAAGCAGUGUGUUGAAUACAUUAGCAUGGAAUAAUAAUCUAGGGCUUUGGUUCUAUUUUGUUGGUUUCUAGCGCCAAGUAAUGAUUGAUAGGGAUAGUUGGGGGUGCUCGUAUUUACAGGCCAGAGGUGAAAUUCUUGGAUUCUGUAAAGACGAACUUAUGCGAAAGCAUUCACCAAGGAUGUCUUCUUUAAUCAAGAACGAAAGACAGGGGAUCAAAGACGAUCAGAUACCAU
rnacentral:rRNA from 1 species